rnacentral:rRNA from 1 species
CAGCCGCCGCGGGAAUACGUAGGGUCCGAGCGUUGUCCGGAAUUAUUGGGCGUAAAGGGCUCGUAGGCGGUUUGUCGCGUCGGGAGUGAAAACCAGCAGCUUAACUGCUGGCCUGCUUUCGAUACGGGCAGACUUGAGGCAUUCAGGGGAGAACGGAAUUCCUGGUGUAGCGGUGAAAUGCGCAGAUAUCAGGAGGAACACCGGUGGCGAAGGCGGUUCUCUGGGAAUGUUCUGACGCUGAGGAGCGAAAGUGUGGGGAGCGAACAGGAUUAGAUACCCCGGUAGUCCCUGUCUCUUAUAC